rnacentral:lncRNA from 1 species
UACCGCUCUCCCCGGGCUCUCUCUUCUCCCCCGACCCCGCUAGGAGCCACCCCGACCAAAGUAAGGGUGGAUUGGGGGUGGAGCCCCGCCUUCACCGCGGCCCUUGGCCCAGCCGCCCCGUCCCCCUCCAACCUGGAGCUGAGAGCUGGGAGCUGAGGACCAGAGACCCAGAGGUGACAGAAGCUCACGCAAGCACAACGGGAAGGAAGAGGUGCCCCUCUCACCUGCAGGUAGAGGCACUGAGCAACGGUAACUAUCGUGGUGACAAUCUGGAAGCUGCCUGUGGAGUUUCCAACUAUGAGGGCAUGGCCAGGAAGACAACGCAACACAAACACGAAGGAACCUCUGCGGGCAGGAGCGUGGCUGUGACAUGGACUCUGCCAGCACGGGCAAGAGAAGUGAGUGCUGUGAGCUGAAUGCCUGUCGCUCCCCAGAGUUCAUACCACCAACGUGAAGGUGCCCUAGGGUGAAGCCUUUGGUCAUAAGGACAGGACCCUCAUGAAAGAGCUCCCAAAGGGACCCCUCGCUCGUGAGAGAAUACCACAGGAAGGCACUGUCUAAUAAACCAGGAUGAAGGCUCUCACCAGACUGAGUUUGACAGUGCUUCCAUCUUGGAUUUCUAAAAGCAUGAACCAUGAGAAAUAAGCAUCUAUUGUUUGUAAGCCACCCAGCCACUGGUAUUGUGUUACAGCAGUCUGAACACGCGCAAACACGAAGAUCCAAACUACAACAAAGCGGGACACGAAUAGGAUGCAGUCGCACAACGAUCAGAACCCCAUACCUAUGCCUGUGUGGACAAGGAUGGCAGGAACUCAGCAGAUGCUACCACCAGUGGCUCUAGUCCACCCGCUUAUCGAUGCCCUCCGUAUGAAGGCCUGAAGAGAAACACAGCCUGUCUGCGGCAGCCCAGGCUGGACCCCACGGAGGCACUUUCCCAGAGGGUUAUCGGGAGGUAACCACACAGGGAGAGGGGUUUCGACCCCUGGGGGCUGCUCUGUCAGCGGUGUCAUGUUGAAUGAUCUCACUGAACUAAAUCUGUGUUCUCACUUGUAAAACAGAAACACCACAGCUAGGCAUGGUUGUGCACGCCUAUGAUCCCAGCACUCUGGAAAGCUGAGGUAGGAGGAUCCUAAGUCUGAGCCCAACCUGGGCAGCUUCGUGACUUAAGAAGACCCUGUCUCAAAAUACAAAAAAAUAAAGGGACUGAUGUAGUGCAGUAUGAAGGCCUUUCGUUCAAUCCCCAGUACAGUACUGGGGGGAAAAGAGGAACACUAAAACCUACUUUUGAUAUCAGUGUUCUAUUUGUUAGUAGGAAUUCAAUGAGACAAAAGCCAAAACACUCUAAUGUAUGGGGUAUGUUACAUGCUAGCUACUAUGACUGUUUCCUGACAGCUGUGGCACCAUGAAUCAGUUCACCUCUGGUUCUGGGAAUGGGGGGCCGUGACUAGCCUUCCUCUGCGGAGGACUGUGGCCAUCUCUGACUACACCUCCACGGACCGUGAAGGCAGCCCAGGCCGAGCCAAGGCUCUGCGCAGGGCUGCCUGACACUGCAGACCCCCCCACCCGGCCACUGGCUUUCUCGGCCUCAAGCCCGUUUCUUCUGUCCCACCUUUGUUCUAGACACAGGAAGCACCACAGAUCCCAC